rnacentral:rRNA from 1 species
CAAUAGCGUAUAUUUAAGUUGUUGCAGUUAAAAAGCUCGUAGUUGGAUUUCGAAUGGGACUUGCCGGUCCGUCGUUUCGAUGUGCACUGGCCAGUCCUAUCUUGUUGUCGGGGACUAGCUCCUGGGCUUCACUGUCCGGGACUAGGAGCUGACGAGGUUACUUUGAGUAAAUUAGAGUGUUCAAAGCAAGCCUACGCUCUGAAUACAUUAGCAUGGAAUAACACGAUAGGACUCUGGCUUAUCUUGUUGGUCUGUGAGACCAGAGUAAUGAUUAAGAGGGACAGUCGGGGGCAUUCGUAUUUCAUUGUCAGAGGUGAAAUUCUUGGAUUUAUGAAAGACGAACUUCUGCGAAAGCAUUUGUCAAGGAUGUUUUCAUUAA